rnacentral:rRNA from 1 species
UACGAGGGGGGCAAGCGUUGUUCGGAAUUAUUGGGCGUAAAGGGCGCGUGGGCGGUGCGGUAAGUCACCUGUGAAAUCUCCGGGCUUAACUCGGAGCCUGCAGGCGAAACUGCCGUGCUUGAGUGUGGGAGAGGUGCGUGGAAUUCCCGGUGUAGCGGUGAAAUGCGUAGACAUCGGGAGGAACACCUGUGGCGAAAGCGGCGCACUGGACCACAACUGACGCUGAGGCGCGAAAGCUAGGGGAGCAAACAGG